GCAGGCCUAACACAUGCAAGUCGGACGGUAGCACAGAGAGCUUGCUCUUGGGUGACGAGUGGCGGACGGGUGAGUAAUGUCUGGGGAUCUGCCCGAUAGAGGGGGAUAACCACUGGAAACGGUGGCUAAUACCGCAUAACGUCGCAAGACCAAAGAGGGGGACCUUCGGGCCUCUCACUAUCGGAUGAACCCAGAUGGGAUUAGCUAGUAGGCGGGGUAAUGGCCCACCUAGGCGACGAUCCCUAGCUGGUCUGAGAGGAUGACCAGCCACACUGGAACUGAGACACGGUCC
rnacentral:rRNA from 1 species